GGAAGGGGUAUAGGGAGAGGAAGGACCAGGCAAUAGACAGACAUAUUUCCAACAACAUUAGGGCCAUUUUGAUGGACCGUGUCAUAAAUCAUGUCCUGACGAUGAGAGAGGCAGGGCAGAGGGUCCAGCCCAACCUGAGUCGCUACACGGUAGCAUCCAGAAUACAGCCAUUUUGACUGAAGAACAGAACUGCCAGACGACCUCCUGAGGGUGGAAGGCAACACCGCCAUCUUGGAUCAACACCAUCCGCCCACAUCAACCAAGAGAGUAAAUCAUUGCAGAUCACACAACGUUCCAUAAUACUCAACCACAAUAAUCAACCAGUACGUCGACACUCUGCCGCCAUCUUGGGUCAACAUUACGAUGAAGCAGCUGUCGAUGGUGUCAUUCAGUCAUAGUGAAGGUCUUUGACUAUGUACAAGUGUCACUGUACUACACUGUAAUGGCAGUACAUUGUGUCCUAUUGGCACUGCAAUCAGACAAAAUACAUUCAGACAAAGCAGUAUGUGACCUAGGCAGGUGACCCCAUUCUGAGAGAGAGAGGGGGGGGGGGUGUUGUCUGUGGGGGCACCUGCCUUGUCUGCAAGCAAUGGAAGAGGCAUGCACCCUAUUCCCUAUAUAGUGGGGUCAGUCCAGGGUUGGAUACACAAGGCAACCGUCGCCUAGCCAGGGAUGACAUGGCAACCGUCGCCUAGCCAGGGAUGACAUGGCAACCGUCGCCUAGCCAGGGAUGACAUGGCAACCGUCGCCUAGCCAGGGAUGACAUGGCAACCGUCGCCUAGCCAGGGAUGACAUGGCUUGUGAUGUGACCAAACCCUAACAGAAGGCGGGAUCCAUAAACCAUCCACCCCCUACAAUAUUUAGGUUUACCAUUGCACUGUAAUUACUUUUGUUUAUGUGAGUUUACAGUAACUUAUUGUAUUGAUUACUGUACUGUAGAAAAAACAAAACAUGUAAACCUGCAAAGGCAAAUCAUUUAUUUCUGAAGCCUUUCUAUUUUUGU